CUGCUCUUCUGCCUUGCAGAGGUUUCAUCUGAUCUCAAGAUAGAAGAAGAAAUUGCUCAUAUUACCCAGAUUGGUGUUAGAGGUGGAAACAGGAGGCUCAUGCAAGAAAUGGAUUGUGGGGGGCGAUGCAAGCAGAGGUGCAGCCUCCACUCUAGACCUAAUUUGUGCAAUAGAGCAUGUGGCACGUGCUGUGUGAGGUGUAAGUGUGUGCCACCAGGGACCUCAGGGAACAGAGAAGUAUGUGGGAAAUGCUAUACAGAGAUGACCACCCAUGGCA
rnacentral:misc_RNA from 1 species